UACAGAGGUCUCAAGCGUUGUUCGGAUUCAUUGGGCGUAAAGGGUGCGUAGGCGGCGCGGUAAGUCGGGUGUGAAAUUUCGAGGCUUAACUUCGAAACUGCAUUCGAUACUGCCGUGCUUGAGGACUGGAGAGGAGACUGGAAUUUACGGUGUAGCGGUGAAAUGCGUAGAUAUCGUAAGGAAGACCAGUGGCGAAGGCGGCUCACUGGCCCGGUACUGACGCUGAGGUGCGAAAGCGUGGGGAGCAAACAGG
rnacentral:rRNA from 1 species